rnacentral:rRNA from 1 species
AAUCAACGCUGGCGGCGUGCCUCAGACAUGCAAGUCGAACGCGAAAGUCCCCUUCGGGGGAUGAUUAGAGUGGCGCACGGGUGAGUAACACGUAGGUAAUCUACCUUCGAGUGGGGAAUAACUCAGGGAAACUUGAGCUAAUACCGCGUAAUGCAGCGGCACCACAUGGUGACAGUUGUUAAAGCAUUUAUGCGCUUGAAGAGGAGCCUGCGGCGGAUAGCUAGUUGGUAAGGUAAUGGCUUACCAAGGCUACGAUCUGUAACCGGCCUGAGAGGGCGGACGGUCACACUGACACUGAAUAACGGGUCAGACUCCUACGGGAGGCAGCAGGUCGGGAAUUUUGGG